rnacentral:lncRNA from 1 species
AGGUAAUUCAUGGGGAGAACUAAAUGGACUGAAAUUGGUUCCACGUGACCUGCCAACACCUGGGCAGGUAUCGGCCAUUCUCUCCCUCUAAUCGUACAGGAAUUCUAGCCCAGUGUGACCAGAGCUUCCCUACCCAAUAAUUGAACAAACUUUAUUUUAAAAAAAAAAUGUAAAAAGUGAUUUUAAAUGUUGGCUUUUUUCCUUUCUUAAAACACAAGAAAUCAAAUCAAAUUUGGUUUAUUCAUCGUGUUUUCAAAUCUCUUAUAAACUGCUACACCUGGUGAUCACAUUCUCAAGUGAAUGAAAAAUUCUGACCUAUAAUAUAUAUGUUGUACAUUUUUCUGAAAUGAGGUGGCAGGAAACAAAUUAAUCCUAUUGAAAGUGAUCUCAGUCUCAAUUUCUGUUUUCUGUGACAUGUAGAUUAGGUCACCUGCACUGACAAAAGUAGUCUUUUUAUGGGCCAACCAAGGAAUUGUGUUACUGUUUGUUUAUAGUUCUAGUUCAGGCUGUCAGCUACCUUACU